rnacentral:rRNA from 1 species
GUCCUAAGAUGAGCUCAACGAGAACAGAAAUCUCGUGUGGAACAAAGGGGUAAAAGCUCAUUUGAUUUUGAUUUCCAGUACGAAUACGAACCGAGAAAGCGUGGCCUAAUGAUCCUUUAGAUGUUCGGAAUUUGAAGCUAAAGGUGUCAGAAACGUUAUCACAGGGAUAACUGGCUUGUGGCAGCUCGCUUGCCGACUCGUAGUAGGGGCCAUCCGGCCCCCAAAGGCACGUGUUGUUGGUGACGCCCGCGCGGCGGACGAGCUGCGCGGGCCACCUUGAAGUACAAUUCCUAUCUCGAGCGGCGGGUACAAUCCUCUGCAGAUGACUUAAAUACGCAACGAGGUAUUGUAAGUGGCAGAGUGGCCUUGCUGCCACGAUCCACUGAGAU